CAUAGUUGCCGUUGGGUGUCGCCACCAGUCUGAGACUUAGACGUCAGACCGAAAAAACACGUGUCAACAAAAAGCAGCAAAUUCUUCGUUCAUUUCUAUAGUUUGUGAGUAUUUUGCGGUUUCCCAUUUAAUUUGGCUAAAAAAACCCAAACAGAACCUUUUGAUCAUCGUGACAAUCCGUUCCGGAACUUGGUGCCGUCACCUUUCACCAGCCUGCACAGCUGCGCAACAAAAAGUCCCCUUCCCGCUGGGGCCCAGUUCCUAAGCAACUUGUGCUCAUUUCUCGUCUCGAGUCCAUCCAAUCACUGGCCAUUUCAGGCAAGUCCCAACGUGACCCUAGAGACGGUGCUAAAGGCAAAAGAACCACUAACUGGCGCUCGUCUGCGCGAAGUCAAGCCCAAGGACCAAGAGCGAUUAACAAGAGCCUGGCGCGAUCGCCAGGCUUGACCCAGCGGUCGCCCAGAGCCUCGACGAACCCGCCCGAAGUCCCACGGUCCGGAUGUCGUCCUAGGACAGAUUGGAUAAGGACAGACUCCACACCGGCUCUAAGAAGCGAAAGUCCGUGAGACCACGUUCGGUGACGGCAUUUUUUGAUGUUCCGGACGUCGAGCACGAAAUGUUGAGGAUGGUGAUCUGCUUACGCGGAAUGGGUCGUUUGAAAUGACAUUCAGUACGUGGAUCCGGAUGGUGGGAGUCAAUGGACAAUAUGAAGCGGAAGUCGGUAUAUAAAAUACAAGUUGCGUGACGUGUUGCCGGUGACGGUUAUGUUUUUGCCUGAGUAACGCUGCCAAACUUCCCGUCACACCCGGGAAGAACGAUGACCGUUGCAGCAGCCCGACGGACCGGAGGAACCGGUUGAACCUUGUGCACCUAGGGAGUCCGGUACUCCUCGUCGCUGCCGAUGAGUGCCACUAGCAGUACAUGAAAUUCUGUAUCAUUUUCGUUUACUCCACCAGUGCAACAACCAGCAGUUUUUCUUCGAAGAUUAUAGUGCAGCCGUCCCUUAA